GCUGACAGCUCAGUCAUUAGAGCUUUGUGCUGAUAACUCCAAGGUUGCAGAUUCGAUCCCUGUUUGGGACA